UUCCAGACUCCUACGGGAGGCAGCAGUGAGGAAUAUUGGUCAAUGGUCGUAAGGCUGAACCAGCCAAGUCGCGUGAGGGAAGACGGCCCUACGGGUUGUAAACCUCUUUUGUCGGGGAGCAAAGCGAACCACGUGUGGUCCAUUGAGAGUACCCGAAGAAAAAGCAUCGGCUAACUCCGUGCCAGCAGCCGCGGUAAUACGGAGGAUGCGAGCGUUAUCCGGAUUUAUUGGGUUUAAAGGGUGCGUAGGCGGAAGGCCAAGUCAGCGGUAAAAUCGCGGGGCUCAACCUCGCUCCGCCGUUGAAACUGGCGUUCUUGAGUGGGCGAGAAGUAUGCGGAAUGCGUGGUGUAGCGGUGAAAUGCAUAGAUAUCACGCAGAACUCCGAUUGCGAAGGCAGCAUACCGGCGCCUAACUGACGCUGAAGCACGAAAGCGUGGGUAUCGAACAGGAUUAGAUACCCUCGUAG
rnacentral:rRNA from 1 species